GAUGAACGCUAGCUACAGGCUUAACACAUGCAAGUCGAGGGACCGGCGCACGGGUGAGUAACACGUAUCCAACCUGCCCCUUACUCGGGGAUAGCCUAUCGAAAGAAAGAAUAAUACCCGAUGUAAAGGAUGGGGAUGCGUUCCAUUGGGUUGUUGGUGAGGUUACGGCUCACCAAGCCUUCGAUGGUUAGGGGUUCUGAGAGGAAGGUCCCCCACAUUGGAGCUGAGCCACGGUCCAAACUCCUACGGGAGGCAGCAGUGAGGAAUAUUAGUCAAUGGGCGUUAGCCUGAACCAGCCAAGUGGCGUGAAGGAUGAAGGCUUAUGGGUCGUAAACUUCUUUUAUAUAAGGAGAUUUAUUAUAUGAAUAAGGAUCGGCUAACUCCGUGCCAGCAGCCGCGGUAAUAC
rnacentral:rRNA from 1 species